GACGAACGCUGGCGGCGUGCCUAAUACAUGCAAGUCGAACGCAGUGGGGACGGGUGCUUAACACGUGGCUAACCUCCCAUCAGAGGGGAUAACCCUUGGAAACAGGUGCUAAACUGAUACUGAUGGAUGAACCCGCAGUGCAUUAGCUAGUUGGUGAGGUAACGGCGCACCAAGGCCACGAUGCAUAGCCGGCCUGAGAGGGUGAGCCGCCACACUGGGACUGAGACACGGCCCAGACUCCUACGGGAGGCAGCAGUAGGGAAUCUUCGGCAAUGGGCGAAAGUCUGACCCAGCAACGCCGCGUGAGUGAAGAAGGUUUUCGGAUCGUAAAACUCUGUUGUUAGAGAGGCGGUAUCUAACCAGAAAGCCCCGGCUAACUACGUGCCAGCAGCCGCGGUAAUAC
rnacentral:rRNA from 1 species